rnacentral:ncRNA from 1 species
CGGUCGCUCCCUCGCGAGGUGCCGCGGGUCAGCGGCUGACGCCAGCCACCUUCCCGACCCGUCUUGAAACACGGACCAAGGAGUCUAACAUGUGCGCGAGCCGCGGGGCAGUACGAAACCCGUAAGGCGAAAUGAAGGUGAACGCCGGCGCGGUCCGGCGGAGGUUGGAUCCCGUCCCGUCGGGGCGGGCGCACUACCGGCCGAUCUUCUCCGCCCUGUCGGCGAGGUCGAGCGAGAGCGUGCAAGUCGGGACCCGAAAGAUGGUGAACUAUGCCUGAGGAGGUUGAAGCCAGAGGAAACUCUGGUGGAGGACCGUAGCGAUUCUGACGUGCAAAUCGAUCGUCAAAUUUGGGUAUAGGGGCGAAAGACUAAUCGAACCGUCUAGUAGCUGGUUCCCUUCGAAGUUUCCCUCAGGAUAGCUGGCGCUCUGUCGCAGUUUUAUCUGGUAAAGCGAAUGAUUAGAGGUCUUGGGGGCGAAACGCCCUCAACCUAUUCUCAAACUUUAAAUUGGUAAGAAGCCCGACUCGCUCGUUUGGAGCCGGGCAUGGAAUGCGAGUGCCAAGUGGGCCACUCUUGGUAAGCAGGACUGGCGAUGCGGGAUGAACCGAACGCCGGGUUAAGGCGCCCGACGCGACGCUCAUCAGAGCCCUCUAAAGGUGUUGGUUGAUAUAGACAGCAGGACGGUGGCCAUGGAAGUCGGAAACCGCUAAGGAGUGUGUAACAACUCACCUGCCGAAUCAAUCAGCCCUGAA